UGAGGACCGGGUCCCAGAUGUAACUGCGGAAAUGACUGCCCAUUCCAAAGCUUUAGGAGGGAACACAGGGACCGCCGAACAGCUGAAAAGGCCCAUUCUUCACUGAAUGGGCCCUGCAAGUUUGCCGGGCCAGGUGGACGACCAAGAAAAAUUUGCAAGCAGUCAAGACUUUGCCAACAGCCGUGCAUAUGAAAAAUAGGAGGCUAUUCCAGGGGUCUACAACCUUUUCUAGCAUGAGAGCUACUUAAAAAAAAAAUUGACCACAGAUGUGUCUGUAUGGAGUUCCUAUGUGGGCUGUGAGCCCAUGGGAUUGUUUUGGAGCCUGCACCUGGAGAGAGAGAGGGUCUGAGUGAUCACUCUCUGGGGAGGGCACCUGGCACCCCACGCUGCCGCCCAAGAAGAUGCCUGGAAGAUGACCACUUUGUGUUAGAAUGGUAUAUUUCAUGUCUCUCCACAAUGCAAGACCAAAACUCAAAAUCUGAUGGACCGUGUUCUCGUUAAUGUACUGUAAUUUCACAACACAUAUUGUUAUGUAGGCAUCUAUGUAUUGUCAUUGAUUUGUAAAAUGUUUAUAUAUGCAGCUAUUAUACCAUAAGAUAUUCAAUGGCAUGUAAACAAAGUAGCUUCAUCAUUUCAUCUUUGUGAGAGGGUUACACUGUAUGUGUGUUUUGCUGAAACACAGUCACGCCUUUACAUUGUGCCACUAAUGGUUGUGAUCUGGGCUGAAGAGGUCGUGGCAUGCUGAUGUCACCAUGGCAAUCAACACAAUGAACUCUUGGAAGUCAAUCUCCAGGUCUCUGUUCUGGUCCAGGUCUGCAAAUAUCUCAUUCAGUCUGAUUUUCCUGUAUUUUCUUAAAUGAGACAAGAAGAGUCAACAGUAAAACUUAAUCUGUCAGAUUAUUUUAGUUAAAAAUGUCCUGUAUAGGCCCGUACAAGUUUAUAACAAGUAAUAACACAUAGACCUGCAGGCUUUUAGUAAAGUGUAAUAAUCUAAUAAACAUAGAAUAGUCAUCUAAAUCAUUA